GCCUAAAAUUUAGCCGCAACAUUUUUAAUGAAACCCCCACAUCUACCAACCGCCACUAAAACAUUCUAACAACCUAGUACAGGCGAUCGAAAAACUUCUAAGAGCUAUAAAUAGUACUGCAAAGGAACAAUGAAAUAGAAAUGAAAUAACAUUAAAGCCCCAACAGUAGAGA
rnacentral:rRNA from 1 species